rnacentral:Y_RNA from 1 species
GGCUAGUCCAAAGGUAGUGAGUUAUCUCAACUGAGUAUUCACAAUCAGUUACAGAUAAAAUUCCUUGUUCUAUUCUUUCCCCCCUUUCUCACUGCAGCACUUGAUUGGUCUUUU